rnacentral:rRNA from 1 species
GAUGAACGCUGGCGGCGUGCCUAAUACAUGCAAGUCGAGCGAACGGACGAGGAGCUUGCUUCUCUUAUGUUGGCGGCGGGCGGGUGAGUAACACGUGGAUAACCGGCCUAUGAGACUGACAUAACUUCGGGAAACCUGAUCUAAUACCGGAUAAUAUUUUGAACCGCAUGGUUCAAAAGUGAAAGACGUUCUUGCUGUCACUUAUAGAUGGUUCCGCGCUGCAUUAGCUAGUUGGUAAGGUAACGGCUUACCAAGGCAACGAUGCGUAGCCGACCUGAGAGGAUGAUCGGCCACACUGGAACUGAGACACGGUCCAGACUCCUACGGGAGGCAGCAGUAGGGAAUCUUGCGCAAUGGGCGAAAGCCUGAUGGAGCCAUGCCGCGUGAGUGAUGAAGGUCUUCGGAUCGUAAAACUCUGUUAGUAGGGAAGAACAUAUGUGAAAGAAAACGUGCCCAUCUUGACGGUACCUACUCAGAAAGCACCGGCUAACUACGUG